AACGGAGAGAGCCAACAGGGAUUGCCUCAGUAACGGCGAGUGAAGCGGCAACAGCUCAAAUUUGAAAUCUGGCUCUCGGGCCCGAGUUGUAAUUUGCAGAGGAUGUUUCUGGCGAGGUGCCUUCCGAGUUCCCUGGAACGGGACGCCAUAGAGGGUGAGAGCCCCGUCCGGUUGGUCGCUAAGCCUCUGUGAAACUCCUUCGACGAGUCGAGUAGUUUGGGAAUGCUGCUCUAAAUGGGAGGUAUACGUCUUCUAAAGCUAAAUACCGGCCAGAGACCGAUAGCGCACAAGUAGAGUGAUCGAAAGAUGAAAAGCACUUUGAAAAGAGGGUUAAAUAGUACGUGAAAUUGUUGAAAGGGAAGCGUUUAUGACCAGACUUGGGCCGGUUGAUCAUCCAUCGUUCUCGGUGGUGCACUCUGCCGGCUCAGGCCAGCAUCAGUUUGGCUUGGGGGAUAAAGGUUUCGGGAAUGUGGCUCCCUCGGGAGUGUUAUAGCCCGUUGCGUAAUACCCUGGGCUAGACUGAGGUUCGCGCUCCGCAAGGAUGCUGGCGUAAUGGUCAUCAGCGACCCGUCUUGAAACACGGACCAAGGAGUCGUCUUCGUAUGCGAGUGUUCGGGUGUCAAACCCCUACGCGUAAUGAAAGUGAACGUAGGAGAGAGCUUCGGCGCAUCUCCGACCGAUCCUGAUGUUCUCGGAUGGAUUUGAGUAAGAGCAUACGGGGCCGGACCCGAAAGAAGGUGAACUAUGCCUGUAUAGGGUGAAGCCAGAGGAAACUCUGGUGGAGGCUCGCAGCGGUUCUGACGUGCAAAUCGAUCGUCAAAUAUGGGCAUGGGGGCGAAAGACUAAUCGACGUCUGCGG
rnacentral:rRNA from 1 species